GUUUUUCAUGAGUUAAACGUGCUGCUUUUGAAAAGCAGAAGUUUGACAACAUGGGGAGAUUCAAGGUGAUCUUUCAAAUCAGUGCUCUACAGAUUUUGAUCACGCUUAUUAACGCUGAAAGUGUACCAGUAACUGUACCAAAUCCUGUCGCCGUCUUUCCCCUGAACAGCAAGUAUCAUACAAGGGAAAUUAAAAGUCGAGUUCCCCAGGGAAAUCCUGUU